rnacentral:rRNA from 1 species
GACGAACGCUGGCGGCGUGCUUAACACAUGCAAGUCGAACGGUGAAGCGCCUUCCUUUUUGGUGGGUGUGGAUGAGUGGCGAACGGGUGAGUAACACGUGAGUAACCUGCCCCCUUCUUCUGGAUAACCGCAUGAAAGUGUGGCUAAUACGGGAUAUUCUGGGUCUGUCGCAUGAUGGGUCUGGGAAAGAUAUUGUUUCGGUGGGGGAUGGGCUCGCGGCGUAUUAGCUUGUUGGUGGGGUGAUGGCUUACCAAGGCGGCGAUGGGUAGCCGGCCUGAGAGGAUGAUGGACCGCCACACAAGGAAUGAGCCACCCCCAAGACUACGACAGGAGGCAGCAGGGAAUAUUACGGAACAAUCGGAGCAAUCAUGAUGCAGCGCCGCCUCAUUAGUGAUGGAGUCCUGCUCGUUGUGAACCUCUUUCGCCAGUGAACCAGUCCUUCCUCAUCUGUGCAUAUGUUGACGGUACCUAGACAAAAAGCGCCGGCUAACUACGUG